GGGGAAUAUUGGGCAAUGGGCGAAAGCCUGACACAGCAACGCCGCGUGAAGGAAGAAGGCCCUCGGGUUGUAAACUUCUUUUAUCAGGGACGAAAAAAAUGACGGUACCUGAUGAAUAAGCCACGGCUAACUACGUGCCAGCAGCCGCGGUAAUACGUAGGUGGCAAGCGUUAUCCGGAUUUACUGGGUGUAAAGGGCGUGUAGGCGGGACUGCAAGUCAGAUGUGAAAACUAUGGGCUCAACCCAUAGCCUGCAUUUGAAACUGUGGUUCUUGAGUGAUGGAGAGGCAGGCGGAAUUCCGGGUGUAGCGGUGAAAUGCGUAGAGAUUUGGAGGAACACCAGUGGCGAAGGCGACUUUCUGGUCUGCAACUGACGCUGAGGCGCGAACGCAUGGGGAGCAAACA
rnacentral:rRNA from 1 species